rnacentral:rRNA from 1 species
AUUGAACGCUGGCGGCGUGCUUAACACAUGCAAGUCGAGCGGCAGCGCGGGAGCAAUCCUGGCGGCGAGCGGCGAACGGGUGAGUAAUGCUUCGGAAUCUGCCCUUCAGUGGGGAAUAACCAGUCGAAAGACUGGCUAAUACCGCAUACGAACUGAGGUUGAAAGCAGGGGAUCGCAAGACCUUGCGCUGAUGGAUGAGCCGAAGUCGGAUUAGCUUGUUGGUGGGGUAAUGGCCUACCAAGGCGACGAUCCGUAGCUGGUCUGAGAGGACGAUCAGCCACACUGGCACUGCGACACGGGCCAGACUCCUACGGGAGGCAGCAGUAAGGAAUAUUGCGCAAUGGGCGAAAGCCUGACGCAGCGACGCCGCGUGGGGGAUGAAGGUCUUCGGAUUGUAA